UGAGUUUAAUAGCAGCUUAGGAUAAAAUUCUGGAUCGCUAGAGUUGCUGCUCAAUCCAUUAGUUAUGAAAUACCAUUAACUUUUUGUGUUAAUAGCAGUUUGGGUAGAAAAUAGAAGCUUCAGCUAGCACCAAGUCAUAAACUGAUAGUAGUAACUCCAAGAAGUAGUUUGUCGUGAUCUUCUCAUAAACAAUGUUGCCAUGCUCUGAAGCUUCUCUGUACUUUACCGAUCUGUACUUCUGGUGGGCAAAUGCAAAGUGCCUCUCUUCAUCACCGGCUACAGCCGCUCCUUCAGCUGCAGCCAUGGAAAUUGCAGCCCAAACAAACAUACCUUAAGUAAAUACCAAGAAAUUGGUUAGAAAUAAUAUGUAAUGUAUAUAUAAAAUAACCAAGAGAUAUCGAAAUUCAUAUACAUAUUUUAUUUUAUAAUAGUCCUUUAUCUAAGAAGGGGAGCCUUGGCGCAGUGGUAAAGCUGCUGCCUUGUGACCAUGAGGUCAUGGGUUCAAGUCCUGGAAACAGCCUCUUACAGAAAUGUAGGGAAAGGCUGCGUACUAUAGACCCAAAGUGGUCGGACCCUUCCCUGGACCCUGCGCAAGCGGGAGCUACAUGCACCAGGUUGCCCUUUUUUUUAUCUAAGAAGAUACAGAAUUCCAUGUAACCACAUUUCCUACCACCAUAUGACGGAUUAUGGUGCCAUUUCAUUAAUAAUAAUGGAGAUUAUUAAGAAAUGACCGGAAAAGAUGAACUAUAAAAUAAAGUAGCAUCUCUAUACGGGCAUCAAACAUAUCACCCAUGCUGACGUAAUAAGCACAUACAUGUAGCAUUUGCACUGAACAGAACAUCUGAAGAUGAAUAGGCAAUGUCUACAAUAUUAAUGCAAGGGUGUCAUGAACAGAUCAAAAUGAAAAUAGGGCCUAUAUAAAAUCCUCUUUGUAAUUAUAAUCGGUGACCAAUUUGCAGAUGCUUACAAUUUCAUUCAAUAAGUUAUGGUUGAAAACUUGAAAUAGUAAAUGUAUAUUCCUCUCGUUCCUAAAUAUAAGUCUUUUAGAUAUUUCAACAAGGACUACAUACGGAUGUAUAUAGACAUAUUUUAGUGUAGAUUCACUCAUUUUGCUCCGUAUAUAGUAGAUACAUCCAUUUGAGGGACAAGCUUGGGAAAAGCUUUUUUGGACAGAGGGAGUAUAUCGAAAAGGUGUGUAUGAUUGAUAGUAGUCAUGAUGGCUUGUGUUAUAAUAAGCAAGCAGGGAAAAAGAAUGAAUUAGAAAUAACAAGCCUGGGUAAAAGUUGUUUUGUACUCCCUCUGCCCCAAAAUUCUUGUCUUAGAUUUGUCUAAAUACGGAUGUAUCAAGUCACAUUUUAGUAUUAGAUACAUCCGUAUCUAGAUGAAUGUAAGACAAGAAUUUUGGGACGGAGGGAGUAGAUCAGAAACAAAGGCGCCAUAAAAUGAUUUAAGUGUUGCCAAAUGGGUCCUCUUCAUGUAAUAAGCAUGUAAUAUUGCAGAACAAUAAUAUAGUCUUCUUAAACUAAAUUGUGACAAAUUCUUACUCUGGCACACUUGAGGUAGUCACCACGAGCAUACAUUCUUUCACCAUCAAACAGUCUCUUAUCCGUUGGUUUUACGACUCCUGUCAAACUGCAUUCGCACGACAUCUAUGUGAGGUUCACACAUUCAAAAAUAUGGCCAACUUGUAAUUCUAUGGUCUGCAAUACUGCAAAAUCAGAUAAAUGUUUUGGAAUGGCUAAAGAGUAAAGAUAACACGAAAAAAACUUAAGUGACUUUGGGCCAACAAAGCAGAAGCACAGGAUUACUGAUUUGGUGUCGGCUUACUUCUUAAAGCACAAAAAUAGCACGGCUACACAACCUUGCUUUGAGCAAAGUGAGCAUAACAGCUACCCGCUACCCAUUAAACGCAGUUAUGAAGGAAAAAGGACAACCUAACCAUAAUUGCAUAACGAAUUAUUUUCCAGCAGAAACAACAUCAUGUUGGCCAACCUGAAAGAAAGGACUCACCUUUAAUGAAGAAGGAAGCCGAACACACCCACAUUAUAACAGCAACAAGAGAAUUUCCAAGAAUUUUGGACUACAAAAAUUCAUAGAAACUCCAUUGUGUGGGACAAACUCACAAUUGGCGAGCUUGGUGAGCAAUUACACAGGGACGAUUAAGCAAGCAAACUCAAGACCUGAUUCUAACAAUUGCCAACCGUGAAAUAAUACAAUUAGUGAGUGUGAAAUAUUACAUGCUAAGCAAGCAAACUCAAGAAACUGAUUCUAACCAAUU
rnacentral:lncRNA from 1 species